AUUGAACGCUGGCGGCAGGCCUAACACAUGCAGGUCGAACGGUAACAGGAAGCAGCUUGCUGCUUCGCUGACGAGUGGCGGACGGGUGAGUAAUGUCUGGGAAACUGCCUGAUGGAGGGGGAUAACUACUGGAAACGGUAGCUAAUACCGCAUAACGUCGCAAGCCCAAAGAGGGGGACCUUAGGGCCUCUUGCCAUCGGAUGUGCCCAGAUGGGAUUAGCUAGUAGGUGGGGUAACGGCUCACCUAGGCGACGAUCCCUAGCUGGUCUGAGAGGAUGACCAGCCACACUGGAACUGAGACACGGUCCAGACUCCUACGGGAGGCAGCAGUGGGGAAUAUUGCACAAUGGGCGCAAGCCUGCUGCAGCCAUGCCGCGUGUAUGAAGAAGGCCUUCGGGUUGUAAAGUACUUUCAGCGGGGAGGAAGGGAGUAAAGUUAAUACCUUUGCUCAUUGACGUUACCCGCAGAAGAAGCACCGGCUAACUCCGUG
rnacentral:rRNA from 1 species